ACAUACUCUAUCUUGUUUUUAGCCUCAUCACAUGACCUCUUGUAUUUGUGCCCGUGAUCAAAAUCUGAAAAUUCAAAAAUAAUUACGCGCAAUGGCCAAAGUUGAAUUAGUAGACGUCGAUGACAUACAUAAAAAUUCUCUUGUUAGCAGUGCUGACAGCGACGAGUACCUAGGAAUAGUGGACGAUGGCUCACUUGGCGACGACGAUAAAUCCCAUUUAGUAACGCAGUCGUUUUUGGACACAAAUGAUAACAGUACCUCAUACAGCUUUAGGGAUGUGCAGGCAGGUUCUGUAACAUACAAACUUGUGAUGUCGGAUGAUGCAACAAACAGCAUGGCUACAAAUUCACCACCACAUGAAUACUAUGUGAUAAGCAGUCCGGGGGAGGUGUUCGGACCACCAGUUGAAAAGAAAGUCAAAAGAGAACCUGUACCUGAAAAAGCUAUUACGGCUAAAAGGCGAGAUGAGAAGCGUCGCGCGACCCACAAUGAGGUGGAGAGGCGGCGUCGGGACAAGAUAAACAGCUGGAUCACCAAGCUGGCUGCCCUGGUGCCCGAUGCCAUGGCAGAUUCUUCCAGCAAAGGAUGCAUUCUGUCCAAGGCAUGCGACCACAUCACGGACCUCACAAGGAAACAGAAGAGACUAGAAAAACUAGAAGUAGAAAACAAGAAGCUUAUGUUAGAAGUGUUAAGACUAAAACAGGAAUUAGUUGACGUACGAAAAGAGAGUGCCAUUAUGCGAAACGACCUAGCGGACACGUGCAUAGUCGCCAGCCAGCGGGCCAAAGGCCAGAAGUCCUAGCUGUAACCCGCCAGGUGUCAACCGAACCGUGAACUUAACCAAGGUGCUGAUAUAGCUAAGUGUGAUUUGACUGUGUAGUGACGUCAUAAAGCAUCAGUUAUUUCAUCUGGCAUCACCGGCCAGUGUUGCCAGAAAUGGCCAGAACCGAUUAACCCGUUUAAGGGUAGUCGAACGAAAAAAGGCUAUGAAGUUUCCAUACAAUUUACGUGAAGAAUAGCAGGCAGAGCGCGUAUUUUUACGCAGUUGUAAGGUGUUAUUGAUUGUAUAGUUAAUAAUGUUGAUGUACAUUGAAAUGUUUUCGUUUGAUAUAAACAAAACAGUUCAAUUUAAAUAUGAAUGUUUGAAAACGUUUUGUUAUUUUUUGGCAUAGUUUUAACAUUAUUAUUUUAGCUGUUACAACAUCAUUAAUGUUUUUAGUUUUGUAUAAAAUGUACAAUCUAAUUGGAAAAGGAUUUUUCUUUUAAAACACAUUCAGUAUUGUUUUGAGUAAAUAUGCAUGUUUUAUGAUUUGUUUCCCAUACAUUAAAGGAUAGUAAGAUAAAACUUGUAAGGCACUAAAUAUAUGAAAGAAAAGGUCUAAGAUUGUAUGUGGUGUUUUGAAAUCAUAUGUAGCAUGAGUUGUUUGAUUUUAUUCAAAUCAUAGUAAUGUUUGAAAGUUGCAACAUUAUCCUAUGUCUUCGAUUUACGUAAAUUGAAAUUGGUUUCAAUAUCAAAAAGAUUUGGAAUAAGGAAUUUAGGGAUUGCCUUUUUCAAGCUAAGAUAUGAAUACGAACGUUUCAUAUAUUUAAAAAGUAUGUUUAAGAAAGCUGAUAUUCUAAAUCGGUAAGAUUAGAAAAUAAUAUUUAGUAGAUUGAACAAAUAUUGUCUAUGUACUAGAAAUAAUUACUUGUGAUAAACUUCCUAAGUACCAACAAUACAAAGAUUAUAGCAAGUGUUAUGAAAUUUUCAAUAGACAAUAUAGGAAGGUUAUCUAAGAUUCCGUGUUGAAAAUAUUUACUUGUAAAUUGGUACCCAUUCGCA